rnacentral:rRNA from 1 species
UGCGUAGGCGGCCCGGUAAGUUGGGUGUGAAAACCCUCGGCCUAACCGAGGAAUGGCGCCCAAAACUGUCGGGCUUGAGGAAGGCAGUGGUGAGCGGAACUUAGGGUGGAGCGGUGAAAUGCGUUGAUAUCCUAAGGAACACCAGGAGCGAAAGCGGCUCACUGGGCCUUUACUGACGCUGAGGCACGAAAGCCAGGGGAGCGAACG